AGCAGCCGCGGUAAUUCCAGCUCCAAUAGCGUAUAUUAAAGUUGUUGCAGUUAAAAAGCUCGUAGUUGAAUUUCGAGGUUAGUAGGUUGGUCAUGCCUCUGGUAUGUACUGGUCUCACUGAUUCCUCCUUCCUUAUGAACCGUAAUGCCAUUAAUUUGGUGUUGCGGGGAAUUUGGACUGUUACUUUGAAAAAAAUUAGAGUGUUUAAAGCAAGCUAACGCUUGAAUACAUUAGCAUGGAAUAAUGAAAUAGGACGUUCGAUCUUAUUUUGUUGGUUUCUAGGAUUGACGUAAUGAUUAAUAGGGAUAGUUGGGGGCAUUAGUAUUCAAUUGUCAGAGGUGAAAUUCUUGGACUUAUUGAAGACUAACUACUGCGAAAGCAUUUGCCAAGGAUGUUUUCAUUAAUCAAGAACGAAAGUUAGGGGGAUCGAAGACGAUCAGAUACCGUCGUAGUCUUAACCAUAAACUAUGCCGACUAGGGAUCGGAUGAUGUUAAUUUUUUAAUGACUCA
rnacentral:rRNA from 1 species